UCUCAGUUCGGAUUGGAGUCUGCAACUCGACUCCAUGAAGCUGGAUUCGCUAGUAAUCGCGCAUCAGCCAUGGCGCGGUGAGUACGUUCCCGGGCCCUUGUACACACCGCCCGUCAAGCCAUGGAANCCGGGGGUGCCUGAAGUGCGUGACCGCAAGGAGCGCCCUAAGGUAAAACCGGUGACUGGGGCUAAGUCGUAACAAGGUACC
rnacentral:rRNA from 1 species